rnacentral:rRNA from 1 species
UACGUAGGGGCAAGCGUUGUCCGGAAUCAUUGGGCGUAAGCGCGUGUAGGCGGCUCGAUAAGUCCGCUCUGAAAGUCCAGGCUCAACCCUGGGAUGCGGGUGGAUACUGUCGGGCUCGAGUCGGAAGAGGCGAGUGGAAUUCCUGGAUGUAGCGGUGAAUGACGCAGAUAUCAGGAGGAACACCAUGGCGAAGGCGGCGACCUGGGCCAAUAUUGACGCUGGAGGUGACGAAAGCGUGGGGAGCAAACAGG